rnacentral:rRNA from 1 species
UACGGAGGAUGCGAGCGUUAUCCGGAUUUAUUGGGUUUAAAGGGUGCGCAGGCGGCGUGUCAAGUCAGCGGUAAAAUGUCGGGGCUCAACCCCGGCCGGCCGUUGAAACUGGCGUGCUCGAGUUGGAGAGAAGUAUGCGGAAUUCGUGGUGUAGCGGUGAAAUGCAUAGAUAUCACGAAGAACCCCGAUUGCGAAGGCAGCAUACCGGCUCCACACUGACGCUGAGGCACGAAAGCGUGGGUAUCAAACAGG